rnacentral:rRNA from 1 species
UACGAAGGGGGCUAGCGUUGCUCGGAAUCACUGGGCGUAAAGCGCGCGCAGGCGGUCUUCCAAGUCAGUGGUGAAAGCCUGGAGCUCAACUCCAGAACUGCCAUUGAAACUGUUGGACUUGAGUACGAGAGAGGUGAGUGGAAUUCCCAGUGUAGAGGUGAAAUUCGUAGAUAUUGGGAAGAACACCAGUGGCGAAGGCGGCUCACUGGCUCGUAACUGACGCUCAGGCGCGACAGCGUGGGGAGCAAACAGG